GGAGUGGUGGAGCCGACGAACCAGACUUGUAGUAGGUGAGUGAUGGGGUGACGCAGGAAGGUAGUCCAGCCCGGGCGGUGGUUGUCCCGGGGUAAGGGUGUAGGCCGUGUGGUAGGCAAAUCCGUCACACGUUAAGGCUGAGACCUGAUGCCGAGCCGAUUGUGGUGAAGUGGAUGAUCCUAUGCUGUCGAGAAAAGCCUCUAGCGAGUUUCAUGGCGGCCCGUACCCUAAACCGACUCAGGUGGUCAGGUAGAGAAUACCGAGGCGUUCGGGUGAACUAUGGUUAAGGAACUCGGCAAAAUGCCCCCGUAACUUCGGGAGAAGGGGGGCCAUUUCUGGUGAUCGGAUUUACUCCGUGAGCUGGGGGUGGCCGCAGAGACCAGCGAGAAGCGACUGUUUACUAAAAACACAGGUCCGUGCGAAGCCGUAAGGCGAUGUAUACGGACUGACGCCUGCCCGGUGCUGGAACGUUAAGGGGACCGGUUAGCUCUGAUUCGUCGGGGCGAAGCUGAGAACUUAAGCGCCAGUAAACGGCGGUGGUAACUAUAACCAUCCUAAGGUAGCGAAAUUCCUUGUCGGGUAAGUUCCGACCUGCACGAAUGGCGUAACGACUUCUCGACUGUCUCAACCAUAGGCCCGGUGAAAUUGCAUUACGAGUAAAGAUGCUCGUUUCGCGCAGCAGGACGGAAAGACCCCGGGACCUUUACUAUAGCUUGAUAUUGGUGUUCGGUUCGGCUUGUGUAGGAUAGGUGGGAGACUGUGAAGCAUGCACGCCAGUGUGUGUGGAGUCGUCGUUGAAAUACCACUCUGGUCGUGCUGGAUGUCUAACCUGGGUCCGUGAUCCGGAUCAGGGACAGUGUCUGGUGGGUAGUUUAACUGGGGCGGUUGCCUCCUAAAGGGUAACGGAGGCGCCCAAAGGUUCCCUCAGCCUGGUUGGCAAUCAGGUGUUGAGUGUAAGUGCACAAGGGAGCUUGACUGUGAGACCGACGGGUCGAGCAGGGACGAAAGUCGGGACUAGUGAUCCGGCGGUGGCUUGUGGAAGCGCCGUCGCUCAACGGAUAAAAGGUACCCCGGGGAUAACAGGCUGAUCUUCCCCAAGAGUCCAUAUCGACGGGAUGGUUUGGCACCUCGAUGUCGGCUCGUCGCAUCCUGGGGCUGGAGUCGGUCCCAAGGGUUGGGCUGUUCGCCCAUUAAAGCGGUACGCGAGCUGGGUUUAGAACGUCGUGAGACAGUUCGGUCCCUAUCCGCUGUGCGCGUAGGAGUCUUGAGAAGGGCUGUCCCUAGUACGAGAGGACCGGGACGGACGAACCUCUGGUGUGCCAGUUGUUCUGCCAAGGGCAUGGCUGGUUGGCUACGUUCGGGAGGGAUAACCGCUGAAAGCAUCUAAGCGGGAAGCCUGCUUCGAGAUGAGGGCUCCCACCCACUUGAUGGGGUAAGGCUCCCAGUAGACGACUGGGUUGAUAGGCCAGAUAUGGAAGCCGGGUAACCGGUGGAGUUGACUGGUACUAAUAGGCCGAGGGCUUGUCCUCAGUUG
rnacentral:rRNA from 1 species